AGUCCUGUAGCUCAAUGGUGGAGCAUCUGUCUUACAAACAGAGGGUUGUAGGUUCAAAUCCUACCGGGACUA
rnacentral:tRNA from 1 species